rnacentral:lncRNA from 10 species
AGCAGAGCUAUUUCUGAUGUUUUCAGUCACUGGAGUCACUAUCUCGACUUGUAAGACAUAGUUUAUGCUCCUUAGAAACUUGAGCCUGCCCCGGGAGUCCCUGGGGAGCUGCCAGGACAGAUUUCGCACCGGCUCUGGCCCUCCCUUCCCUUGGAGGGGGAAUGCGGGCCCGGCCUGAACAGGCAGUGUGAGGAAGUUCCAGCAACCGCUCCCACGUGGCUGCGUUCCGGAAGCUUCCUGGGCAGUCAGCUGCAGGCUCCAUCAGGCUCCCUUUCGUUCCAGCCCCACUGUGAGCCCCUAGGGGACCGGCAGGAGCGAUGAGGUCCCCAGAAUUCAGCACUGUGCCGAGCUGGCCGGGCCACCCCUCUGGUCAAAUGGCUCAGGGCAGCGGGCUCCCUGGGACUGCUCAACAUGGGCGCCCCCGGCUGAUCCAUGGCUCAUGGGCUGCUGGGGAAGACGGGGCCAGAGCUCCUCUGUCUCCCCUGCUUUGAUGCCCCUCCUUGUCCGGGGCCAUCUUGAGGACCUCAGUGAUCCCCCAUAGACCCUGGCCACAGUCACACCUGGCCCCCACCCAGUGGACCCAGCGUCAUCGGAAACAAAAGCCAAGAAUGCUGAGGGGCCCCCGGGGCCAGUGACAGCGGCUGGCCGGGCGCCAGCAAUCACCAUAGGCGAGUCGGGGAGCUGGCGGGUGGCCAGGAAGUGUCCCUACGGCUGCCUGGUGGGCAUGUGGGCGGCCGGGCGGGCGGGCAGCCCAGGGAAAAGGCCCCUUCCGGGGGAGCCCACGGGGAAGCAAGGUCACCCUCAGACCCCAGCCCGUCUGUGCACGUGUGAGCGUGGGGGCGGGGGGCAGAGGGAGCCCCACUCAGAGGUGGGGAAACGGAGGCUCAGCGGGGAGUAGCGACUGCAUGUGAUACUCACAGUGGCCCCUGUGCUCCCCGGGGACACGGACACAGCCGUCCCCACGUCCUGCGUCCAGCCCAGGCCUGGCACAGGGAGGAGGGAAGGGCCAGGCACUGUGGGAACUCUGUGUUGUGAAGCUGCCCAUGGCCUCGGGUUCAGGUGGAUGCUGCCCCGUUGUAUCCACGUGGAGAUGGGCCCCAGCGAUGCUCCAGGGCGGGAACCUGACUCUGGGCUCAGACUGCUCCUGACUUCUGAGCUUCCCACCUGUCCGGGCGAGGCCUGCAUGGGCCGGUGGAGGUCAGGAGAGGCAGAGCUUGGCUGACUGGGCCCCCGAGGACACACGGGGGACAGGGUGGAUGCUGACCUGGGCCCGCGUCUUGCCCAGGCUGGGCCAGUGGAGAAGGCCCUGGUGGAGGCGUCCACCCCUCCUGGGUCCCCAGGGCACCGUCCCAUCUGCAGCCCAACGGACAUGCUGUUCUGCCCCAGCACAGGGGCUGUAACCUCGGUGCUCGGACGGACUCAGGACAGACGCCGGCGCUCCGAUGCAGUCAGGACAGACGCCAGCGCUCGGACGGACUCAGGACAGACGCCGGCGCUCGGACGGACUCAGGACAGACGCGGGCGCUCGGACCGACUCAGGACAGACGCGGGCGCUCGGACGGACUCCGGACAGACGCGGGCGCUCGAAGGACUCCGGACAGACGCCGGCGCUCGGAUGGACUCUGGAUAGACGCCGGCGCUCGGACGGACUCAGGAUAGACGCCGGCAGACCCACACCUCACUGAGGGCCAGGGAAGAGCAAUGCUGCCCAGGAGGGCCCGUCCACCUGUGGGGCCUGGAGAUGCAGGACAAGCAUCAUUUGACUCCAGGGAACAGCAAUGCCGGCCGGGAGUGCCCAUCCAUGGGAAGAUGCUGGAGAAUCGACGUGGUUCCUGGUCCUGCUGCUGGGUCAGGACCUCAGAGGCCCCUGGAGUAUGUGCCUAGCCCACCCGCCCCCAGGCCCUCGCCUUCCAUAACCAACUCAAAAUGAAAACAGACCAAACCAUACAAUAAAAACGUGCAAUUUUAACAGUGGGGGAGCCUAACGUGGGCGGAAGGCGCGGGCUGCCCGGGGUUGGAUUCCGGGCCUUUCCUUACCAGCUGCACGACCUUGGGGACGCUGCGUACAUCUCCCUGUCCUCGAUUUCUCUUAUCUGUGAAAUGGGGAGAUCACAGAACCUCUUUCAAGGUCCCUGUGAGUGUGUUCAUAGAUACAAACCCUUAGAACGAUGUCUGGCAUUAGACACAGUGAUCAACAAUCAGGUGUUAUCAUUGAACGUGACACACGGAGCCCGUGUCUGCUGGAAUGAAAGCAGGUUCCUUCCGGGUUUGGGCUGCUCCUGAGUUCGCUUUGUGCCUGUGGGUCUGGACAGUCCAGGCCUCUGGGGCCUUUCCCCAGGGCUCCAGCCAGACAAUGGUGGACACGGCGCAGGGGCAGAGGGUGCUGGCCGG